CGCCUUGUUUCUAUGGGGAAUAGAAUGGGUCUUGUCAUGGCUGCACAGCUGUCUCUACAGGCCCACAACAACUGUUGAGUUGACCAAGGGCAAGUGCUCAGCUACCUGGGUGUCAAGGUGAGACUGUUGGCGGACAGACUCUUGUGGUUCCGUCCCUCUGGGAUCUGAGAUGAGGAGGGCGACAGUCAGAAGAAUGUGCUGUGAUGUGGGUGAACAGGAAGGGAGCCAAC